rnacentral:rRNA from 1 species
AUCAGGGGUAAACCUGUGGAACUCGAACGAACGAACGGGGAGAUUCAUCGUAUUUCCAUAUAUUAUCGUUUCAUUAUAAUGUAUUCGCGUGUACGUUGGUGUCGCAUUCGUGUGGCAUUUAAUGUUUAUACGUUGUAUAUGUUGUUUUGUUUAAGCGAAUGGAAUGCGUGCACUUCUCCCUUAGUAAAACAUCGUGACCCGUUCAUUUAUGAUCGAACGCGUCGUGCAGUUGUCCCGUUUUGAACGUUAAAAAUUCGGAAUGGAGCUGCGAUGUCGCGAUCAUGAGUAUGGACGGUAAAUGAAAAGGUUCACCUUCGCUCGCUCGAGCGUCCGUAUAUUGAACCGUGUCGGCCUCGUAUGAACUUCAACGUUAUGCGUUGUAGGUUUUGUACGGUUUAGUUUGUUGGCAUGUGUUGUGAUAUUGUUCUCGGACAGAAGGUGUUCCGGUCAACGAUGGUUUUGUUUCGGGCACUCACAGGACCCGUCUUGAAAC